UACGGAGGGCGCGAGCGUUAAUCGGAAUUACUGGGCGUAAAGCGCGCGUAGGCUGUUGUGUAAGUUGGGGGUGAAAUCCCACGGCUCAACCGUGGAACAGCCCUUGAUACUGCGCGACUUGAAUCCGGGAGAGGGUGGCGGAAUUCCAGGUGUAGGAGUGAAAUCCGUAGAUAUCGAGAGGAACACUCGUGGCGAAGGCGGGUUCCUGGACAUUAACUGACGCUGAGGCACGAAGGCCAGGGGAGCGAAAGGG
rnacentral:rRNA from 1 species